GGGCUUCACACGUCAUACAAUGGUCGGAACAGAGGGUCGCCAACCCGCGAGGGGGAGCUAAUCCCAGAAAACCGAUCGUAGUCCGGAUUGCACUCUGCAACUCGAGUGCAUGAAGCUGGAAUCGCUAGUAAUCGCGGAUCAGCAUGCCGCGGUGAAU
rnacentral:rRNA from 1 species